rnacentral:rRNA from 1 species
ACGUAGGGGGCAAGCGUUAUCCGGAAUUAUUGGGCGUAAAGAGUGCGUAGGUGGUUUUUUAAGCGUGAGGUGAAAGGCAAUAGCUUAACUAUUGUAAGCCUUGCGAACUGGAAGACUUGAGUGCAGGAGAGGAAAGUGGAAUUCCUAGUGUAGCGUUGAAAGGAGUAGAAAUUAGAAGGAACACCAGGAGCGAAGGCAACUUACAGGACUGUAACUGACAGUGAGGCGAGAAAGUGUGGAAAGCAAAGAG